rnacentral:lncRNA from 1 species
UUAAAAAUGAGGAAAUAUUGUAUCGUAUUUUAAACUGAAGCCGGGAAGAGGAGAGAUCGAGGCAAUUGGCCAUUAAUUUAUGAUAUGCAUCGGCGCGUACGUUCCCAGCAAGAAGUCGCUAUCGACGCACGUUCCUUAAAUAACAUCUCGUGUCGGUAUAAAGUGUAGUGUCCACUACACAGCUAGAUGGGACCACCUUGAGUUUAGAGUUGACACGUGUUAGAAUCCCCAUUUUGACAGCUCACCGCCUAUUUGAUUGUGGGACCACAACAGAAGCAGAGUCUCUAGUCUACUCUUUUUGUUUCCCAAAUUGCCCCUCAUAGGACUGCGUGAAACUUUCCCUCUAGACCCCGGUUUGGAUUUGGCUUGGUUUGUGUGAAUGACCCCAAAAUAAAAAAUAAAAGAAAGUGAAAGAGAUGGGCGCCUCAAAUCUAAAUUCUCAUCUCCAAUUCUCCACGCACAGUUCCACUC